GAAAGAAAAAAGCCCGCUACCUACUUCUCCUGACUAGAGUAGAGGGGCCGAAAGAGAGGUCAAUUUCGGGAGGAGAGGUGUCCUGAUACCCUCCUCUUGAAAGAGUUCAAGUCGUAGGCAGGAGGAAAUACAGAUGAAGGAAGAUUGUUCCAGAGUUUACCAGCGUGAGGGAUGAAAGAGUGAAGAUGCUGGUUAACUCUUGCAUAAGGGGUUUGGACAGUAUAGGGAUGAAAGAGUGAAGAUGCUGGUUAACUCUUGCAUAAGGGGUUUGGACAGUAUAGGGAUGAAAGAGUGAAGAUGCUGGUUAACUCUUGCAUAAGGGGUUUGGACAGUAAAGGGAUGAAAGAGUGAAGAUGCUGGUUAACUCUUGCAUAAGGGGUUUGGACAGUAUAGGGAUGAAAGAGUGAAGAUGCUGGUUAACUCUUGCAUAAGGGGUUUGGACAGUAUAGGGAUGAAAGAGUGAAGAUGCUGGUUAACUCUUGCAUAAGGGAUUUGGACAGUAUAGGGAUGAAAGAGUGAAGAUGCUGGUUAACUCUUGCAUAAGGGGUUU